AUGGGGCCUUCUAAGGACGAUGUGGAUCGCCUCUUCGCCUGCUUCAAAUGCGGCGUCUCCCCUCCUCAGUCGGCAUUCAGGGUGAGACCGCGUCAGCAGGGCAAGAAGUUGCGGGUCACGCCUUCGGCGGAAGGCGAUGGCGGCGGAAGCAGUUCCUCUUCUGCUUCGGCACGGAAAGCUGGGGAAAAUGCGAGCGAGCAUAGGGAGCCAUCAUCAGCCGCGAUCAAAUUCAGAAAUCGAAAGCAGAUGUCUCCAGUUGUGUUCUACGGUUCUCCACAAGGUGUUCCAGUGAAAAAGCCGAUGAGCCUCUUGAGGCUGCUUCGUGAAAUCCACAUUGACCUCAAGAAGCAAACUGAUUUGAUCUCCAGGGAUGUUGUUUGGGCUACAUUCCCUAGGCAAGAUGAGGCAAUAAGGUUCUCAAAGGAACAUGCACACACCAAAGUCUUCAGUUAUCAAGAUCACUUGAGCGGGCAAAGAAGAUUCCUUGUGUCUACAUAUGACGAGUUCUGGAGAAGGUACAAUUAUAUGGACCCACAGAUUCGCCAUCACUAUGAAGUUAUCCAGGAGGGUUCACCUUGCCACAUUUACUUUGAUCUCGAGUUUAACGCAAAACUGAACCAGAAGAGAGAUGCAGAUGAAAUGGUUGAUACAUUGGUUGCUGUCACAUUCAGUGCCUUGCAGGACAAAUAUUCCAUCGAAGGACAAGAAGAAUGGAUCAUAGAAUUAGACUCAUCUAAUGAAGAAAAGUUUUCGCGCCAUUUGAUCAUUCGUAUACCAAAGACUGCAUUCAAGGAUAACUCCCAUGUUGGUGCAUUUACCUCUGAGAUCUGCUCUCGGAUUGCCGCUCAACGUGCAGCCAAUCCCAACCUUGAUAAGCUGUAUAUUACAAAAGAUAGCAGCGGCGCAGAACCUGUUGAUCAGCUCUUCGUGGAUACUGCUGUAUACUCUCGUAAUCGUUGCUUCCGUUUAGCCUUCUCAUCAAAGUCUGGGAAAAAAUCAUUUCUUGUGGCUACUGGACGUUUCAAAUGUAAGAACAUGAAUGACAAGGAACUAUUUAUGGAGUCACUUAUUUGCAGAUUAGAUGAUGACUGCGAUAAGCUUUUGAUCUGCAAACUUGAUUUGGAAUGCAAGAAAGCAUUACAUUUUGACACUGAAGCCAGCGUUACACGAAUUCAAGCAAAAAACUGCCGGGUUGCCAUUGAUACUUACCGAAGUGAUUUUCCUCAAGCAUAUACUUACGGGAGAUCUCCUUUUCCAGCUCUGGACGGUUUUAUUGAAUCUAUAGCUUCCUUUGGAAGUGUCUCAGGGAAAAUUCGAUGCUGGUACUGGUUUUCCCAAGAUGGUUUAAUGAUUUAUAGCAUGUCAAGGAGUAGAUACUGUGAGCAUAUUGGAAGAGAGCAUAAAAGCAAUCAUGUUAUGUACAUUGUGGAUUUCCAAAGAGCUGCGUAUUACCAGAAGUGUUAUGACCCUGAUUGUCGAGGGUACCGUUCUCCACUGCGUGCCGUACCCUUGGAUGCGAUUCCUGAGCUCACCACCUCCAUAGCCGGAUCGGCCCAGAGAGAUUAUCAAGGGAAUGUUGUGGAAUUCAAUAUGGAAGGCGGCGGAAACGAUGGUAACUCUGUUAUGGGGAGCGGGGAGGUGGAGGAGGAUCCUGGUUGGUGGGAAGAAGCGGUGAAGUUUGCUGACAGUGUCGAGAAUGUCGAUCAUGCUCCUCCUGCAUCUUGUAACUUGGAGGAUGGCGGCUGUGACGAUACUGACUGGUGGACGGAUGUGGAAAGGUUUAUGGUGCAGAUGGAAUCACAGGGCGAUGCAUAG
rnacentral:rRNA from 1 species